CCUGACGCAGCGACGCCGCGUGAGGGAUGACGGCCUUCGGGUUGUAAACCUCUUUCAGCAGGGACGAAGCGGAAGUGACGGUACCUGCAGAAGAAGCACCGGCCAACUACGUGCCAGCAGCCGCGGUAAUACGUAGGGUGCAAGCGUUGUCCGGAAUUAUUGGGCGUAAAGAGCUCGUAGGCGGUUUGUCGCGUCGGCUGUGAAAGCCCGGAGCUCAACUCCGGGUCUGCAGUCGAUACGGGCAGACUUGAGUGUUGCAGGGGAGACUGGAAUUCCUGGUGUAGCGGUGAAAUGCGCAGAUAUCAGGAGGAACACCGGUGGCGAAGGCGGGUCUCUGGGCAACAACUGACGCUGAGGAGCGAAAGCGUGGGGAGCGAACAGGAUUAGAUACCCUGGUAGUCCACGCCGUAAACGUUGGGCGCUAGGUGUGGGGGCCAUUCCACGGUCUCCGUGCCGCAGCUAACGCAUUAAGCGCCCCGCCUGGGGAGUACGGCCGCAAGGCUAAAACUCAAAGGAAUUGACGGGGGCCCGCACAAGCGGCGGAGCAUGUUGCUUAAUUCGAUGCAACGCGAAGAACCUUACCUAGGCUUGACAUGUGCGGAAAUCCUCCAGAGAUGGUGGGUCCGUAAGGG
rnacentral:rRNA from 1 species